rnacentral:piRNA from 1 species
UGAACUCAGGGGUCAGCGAUAUUGCUGC